AACGAACGCUGGCGGCAUGCCUAACACAUGCAAGUCGAACGAGACCUUCGGGUCUAGUGGCGCCCGGGUGCGUAACGCGUGGGAACCUGCCCUUAGGUUCGGAAUAACUCCCCGAAAGGGGUGCUAAUACCGGAUAAUGUCUUCGGACCAAAGAUUUAUCGCCUUUGGAUGGGCCCGCGUUGGAUUAGCUAGUUGUUAGGGUAAAAGCUUACCAAGGCGACGAUUCAUAGCUGGUCUGUGAGACUGAUCAGCCACACUGAGACUGGGACACGGCCGAGACUCCUACGGAAGGGGGCAGUGGGGAAUAGUGGAACGUGGGGGGAGUGAUGAUGCACCACGGACCGGUAAGUGAUGAAGUCAUGGGAGUAGAAAAGCGCAAUUACCCAUGAUGGUAUUGACGGUACCUAAAGAAAAAGCCCCGGCUAACUCCGUG
rnacentral:rRNA from 1 species